UGCGUAGGCGGGGCAAUUAGUCAGUGGUGAAAUCCUGCGGCUUAACCGUAGAACUGCCAUUGAUACUGUUGCCCUUGAGUAUAGUUGAGGUGGGCGGAAUGUGUAACGUAGCGGUGAAAUGCAUAGAGAUUACACAGAACACCAAUUGCGAAGGCAGCUCACUAAGCUAUAACUGACGCUGAGGCACGAAAGCGUGGGGAGCGAACAGGAUUAGAUACCCUGGUAGUCC
rnacentral:rRNA from 1 species